rnacentral:lncRNA from 1 species
UUGGCGCGCUAAGUAUGAUCCGCGCGCCUCUAUGAUGGUAUAUAAGCAAAGAAAAGUGAGAACGUAUAUAGGUUAGAAAUUUCGUUAAAUAAAGAUACAUUAGUAAUUGUUAUUAUCCGUACGGGUGAUGAACGAAUAGUGUUGUGAAAGAAGGACAAAUAACUGACGUUAUCAUCGUCGUUUCUCUUAUUUUACAUUUUUGUAAUUUUUAUCAUUUGUGAAUAUUAGUAAUAAAAGUCUUUUUUGAAGUUAAUGUGGAGUGAUAACAAAUUUAGGUUGAAAAUGGAAAAAUUAGAUAACAAGUUGUGCAAUUUUUUAUGUCCAACCAUACGAUGAUAAUUUUUUAUUUAAAUCUAAGAAUACUGAUGAAUUAAAACGUUCUCUUUAUCUUGAUAUUAUAACGGACAAUAGUGUGUGGCUCUACAUUUUUUGUUCCAAUCAAGGACUGUAACACAUCCAAGAAAAAGAUUCUAUUCCAACAUCGGAUUUAUGCAUAUAAAUUUCAUUUUCCAAUGGUUAACGAUAUAAAGAAAUCUUUUAACUAAUGUCUCCUUCGUAAAGAUCGCAUGUUAAUUAUUAUGUAAAUAGAAUCCAACCACAGUUACAAGGAAUAGGCAAGACAUGAAUCUGUUAAAAGAUAAUCAACCAUUUUACUGGAAGGGGAACGCAUUAUUUUCAACAACGAUAAGAAGAAGCCGAUGAUACAAAAAUCAUGAAAGAUUUGGGAAGACACCGUCUUCUUUUUAUUCACUCUGGGAAGAAACCAUGUGCAUUAAUAUUCCAUCAAAA